rnacentral:rRNA from 1 species
UACGGAGGGGGCUAGCGUUGUUCGGAAUUACUGGGCGUAAAGCGCUUGUAGGCGGCUUGUUAAGUUCCGUGUGAAAUCCCCAGGCUUAACCUGGGAAGUGCGCGGAAAACUGGCGAGCUUGAGUGCCGGAGAGGGUCGCGGAAUUCCCGGUGUAGAGGUGAAAUUCGUAGAUAUCGGGAGGAACACCAGUGGCGAAGGCGGCGACCUGGACGGACACUGAUGCUGAGACGCGAAAGCGUGGGGAGCAAACAGG